GACGAACGCUGGCGGCGUGCUUAACACAUGCAAGUCGAACGGUAAGGCCUUUCGUGGUACACGAGUGGCGAACGGGUGAGUAACACGUGGGUGAUCUGCCCUGCACUUCGGGAUAAGCCCGGGAUACUGGGACUAAUACCGGAUAGGACUGCGCGGUGCAUGCCGUGUGGUGGAAAGAUUUAUCGGUGCAGGAUGGGCCCGCGGCCUAUCAGCUUGUUGGUGGGGUAAUGGCCUACCAAGGCGACGACGGGUAGCCGGCCUGAGAGGGCGACCGGCCACACUGGGACUGAGACACGGCCCAGACUCCUACGGGAGGCAGCAGUGGGGAAUAUUGCACAAUGGGCGGAAGCCUGAUGCAGCGACGCCGCGUGAGGGAUGACGGCCUUCGGGUUGUAAACCUCUUUCAGCAGGGACGAAGCGUGAGUGACGGUACCUGCAGAAGAAGCACCGGCCAACUACGUG
rnacentral:rRNA from 1 species